CGUGAACUGACCAGUAAGGACAGGCAGUCGUUGCUUUGACUGUCGUUAAAUUAACCACAAUUACCAGCGAGGCCUACACGCACGCGCCUUCCUCUCUGUACGCCUACUGUGUAUAUUACCGACGUUUAUAUGUUCAUAUUAGAAGUUCCGACAGACAAGGAAGCCAUAUGGAACCCCUUUGAUUUUCUCUGGCGCAUGGCAUGGGGAACCUUCAUAACCAUCUCGACCGGAAGCUAGCUGCUAGAGUUCGUACGCCAUAUGAUCUAUCGUGGAAAACUCCAAAAAAGAAAAGGCUGGCCUUCGAUGCAAAUCGUGCAUCUACUCCACAUGUAGCAUGUACAUACUCAACAAUAUCACGACUCCCUUCACAUUGUUAGAACAGCAAAUCUCCACAGGCAUUUUCCAAUUAACAUGUGAAAGAAACCUCGUUCAAUAUGAGAAUCCAAUCGAGGCAAAAACGUACACCGGUACACGGAAUCGAGAAUGCCAUUUGCGGUGCAUUCAACUCUAGAAAAGAGGCAGACAUAAAUGAAAGAAAGAAAUAGGUGCCGCGCUUGAGGAUCAUGAGAAAAAACGACUGCUCUCGAUAUUCCUUCUAAUCACUUUCAAAGAGACAAAGCUCGAAAUGAAAGACGUUACGUAAUUACCCUUUGCAAAUGUGAUUACCACCAUCGAGCGACUUUUCUGAGCGUCUACAAUUUAAUUAUGCUGGAAAGACUUCGGUUAAUUUUCGUAAUUAAUCCGAAUGCCAAUCUCCACUGUUACGGAGAAUCGGCAUUUUAGUUGGAAGGUUAAAUGACAUCAUAUUUAAUAAUUUCAUUUUAUACUAUUAAAUAUAGGAAAGAAUUCUAUUUUUUUUAAUGAUAAGCGUACAGGUAGGGAAAUUCUUAUCUGUAGUUUUAUUAUGAUACGUUUUAUUUCUUUCUAUAAUGUACUGAUGAUUUUCAAACUUUUGAUUUUUAAUAGUAAUUGCAAACUAACUGAAGUUGGAUUUUUGAUAUAAGAAUUCUCCCUAUUUAUGUAUGAACUGUGUAGGCAAAAUGUAUUUUGAUUUACAAAAAGUUGUAAUACUUUUAAUUAUUUUCUUAAAUAUUAUGUAUUGAUUUCAAUAACUUUUCUCCAUUUCUUGAACAUAAUGAUUCAAUACUAUCAUCACUAUAUCGUUACUAAUAAGUGGUUAAUUUUUGAAAUCAAAAUAUCCUCUGCAAUAUUUCUGAUAUUAUAUCUUAAAUUUAAUCUACUACAAUAUAGAUACCAAGAGUAGAAAAAAAAUCUUAGAUUCAUUGUAAAUAGUUCUGAUUAAGCUAAAACGCGAUGAGAAUGCAGUAUUGGCGGUAUACUUUAUCAAUCGCUAUUAUGUUGAUCAUUAUUUACUGCAUACCUCAAAACAAGGUGAUAAAUGAUAAUACUUAAAAAAUUAGAUGUCAGUAGUAAAAAACGCUAAGAUAUCUUAAACUAAAGUAUUUACUGCUGUAAAUUGUAGACCGUAAUAUAGACAAUAGAAACACAGAACCUUUUUCUACAUCUGAUAUUUUGUUCAGUUUGUGUAAUUGGAUACUUGGAAUUUGUAAUUCUCACGAACGCAAUAAAAUGCGUCGCCCGUUGUUCAUUUAAAGAUAACAUGCUUAUUUAGUAAAUAUGUAUGUAUUUAGUGAAAUAAUUGAAGUCAUCUUUAUCAAUCGUUAGAUUAAAUAAUAUAUAUCGUCUUGGCAAGUGUUAUUUAUGCGAUUAAGUGUUUAAUAUUUAUAUCGUAAUUCUUUUCUGAGUCAAAUACAAAAUUUCAUUGCGAACUAGAAAAUUUCUAUUACAUUUAAAAAUAUAGAUUUUAUAAACUUACAAUUAAUGCAAAUUACACAUUUAUGUUCUAAUCUGUGAAUUUAUAAUAUAAUUUCUUUUGAUAAUAUUUUGUUUGGUAAUGCUGAUACAGCGACCUCCAAGACCAUUUUUUCGAGCUCGACAUUGCACCGCACCGCUUUUCUCGCGUUCCAAGUAACGCGACGAGAGAAAUUCUAUACAUUUAAACGAGUAUUCGCACUACUCUACACCAGCGGCAUUAGAUGUCCUCGUCUAUCUAGAAUUUCCAAUAUUGUAUAACGCACACAUUGUGCGAAUGUAUCACGGUAAAACUGUGGACGAAUGAAAGAGACUUAUGGUAUAAAUGCACGCGAAAAUGUCGAAACCAAAAUGUACGAUGCUUAUAAACUAAAAUUCAAUGAAAUCGAUAUGUAGACAAAUAAUGUAUAGAGCUUAUGCGAAUUAUAAUACAAUGAGUAGGGGUCGUAGAAUGAUUACUAAUGUUUUACGUAAUGAUUACUCAACGUAGACAACUCAAAGAAAUAAAAAAGAGCUACGAAUAACUACUUACGGGUUUUAGGUUAGGUUAAGUAUCUACUGAUUUGGUGUAUCGAACUAUCACCGAGGGGAAAGAUCUAGGAACUUUACUGUU